AUACCAUGAUGUGGGCAGUUUUUAAGCAUUAAGUUGAAUCGCUCAAAUGCUUCAUUGAACAUCUCACCUUGUUGUUGUUGGAAGCUCCACAAGCUUCUCCUAGCAU
rnacentral:snoRNA from 1 species